rnacentral:tRNA from 1 species
UUAAUUGAAGCCAAAUAUAGAGGCAUCUUAAUGUUAAUAAGAAUAAUGAAUAAAUAAUUCCAAUUAAU